UUUUGCUGUAUUUCAGGUAUUUCCGCAGAGUCGCAGGGCACUCCUCCUCCAGGUAAGCCUUGGCCCGCUGCACGUAGACUGGUUCUGCCUCCCACUUCUGCUUGGUUAUCUGGGCUGCUGGGAGGCAGAACCAGUCUACGUGCAGCGGGCCAAGGCUUACCUGGAGGAGGAGUGCCCUGCAACUCUGCGGAAAUACCUGAAAUACAGCGAAAAUAUCCUGGACCGGCAAGAUCCUCCCUCUGUGGUGGUCACCAGCCACCAGGCCCCAGGAGAAAAGAAGAAACUGAAGUGCCUGGCCUACGACUUCUACCCAGGGAAAAUUGAUGUGCACUGGACUCGGGCCGGCGAGGUGCAGGAGCCUGAGUUACGGGGAGAUGUUCUUCACGGUGGAAACGGCACUUACCUGACCUGGUUGUUGGUGCAUGUGCCCCCGCAGGACACAGCCCCCUACUCCUGCCACGUGCAGCACAGCAGCCUGGCCCAGCCCCUCGUGGUGCCCGGGGAGGCCAGGUAGGAAGCAAGGGCUGGAGGCAAUGUGGGAUCUCAGCCCCAGUAGCUGCCCUUCCUGCCUGAUGUGGGAGCUGAACCACCGAAAUCACGGUCAAUGGAUCCUCAAGGCCCAAGGAGCAGUGUGGGGGGACAGACAGGAGGUGGAUUUGGAGACCGAAGACUGGGAUGCCUGUCCUGAGCUGACUCGGACCCAAAAACCAUCUCACCUUGAACCACCCCCCGCCAUUGUCUAAUCUGUGGAAACUAAUAAAUAAUCAUCUCUCUUUGUCAAGCACGACAGAGAACAGUAUUAACUGUAAAAUGCUAUAGAAAUGUGAUGUGAUUUUCUCAUUGGUCCUGCUCCCAAGCACUGAAUUCAUCUGAAACUCUUGGUUUCCCUUGGAGGCCAUGGUUCCUGGGCACCCUGACUUGGGCAAUCCCAAGCAUGGCCCGGACCCGCUGUCCCUUAGGGAUUGUUCAGGUGUCCCCUGCUGACAUCCACAGGCGUGGCCAUGGCCACUCUGGCUGUGAGGUGCUAGAACCCUGCAAGCUCUUUCACACAGCCAAGCCUCUUCUGUGCCUCAGUUUCCC
rnacentral:lncRNA from 1 species